ACUCCUACGGGAGGCAGCAGUGGGGAAUAUUGGACAAUGGGGGGAACCCUGAUCCAGCGAUGCCGCGUGUGUGAAGAAGGCCUGCGGGUUGUAAAGCACUUUUGUGACUGAGGAAGGGUGUUAGGUUAAGAGCUAAGCACUUUGACGUUAGGUCAAGAAUAAGCACCGGCUAACUCCGUGCCAGCAGCCGCGGUAAUACGGAGGGUGCGAGCGUUAAUCGGAAUAACUGGGCGUAAAGGGCACGUAGGCGGUUUUAUAAGUUAGAUGUGAAAGGCUAGGGCUUAACCCUGGUAAGCAUUUAAUACUGUGAGACUAGAGUGCAUUAGAGAGGAGUAGAAUUCCUGGUGUAGCGGUGAAAUGCGUAGAUAUCAGGAGGAAUACCGAUGGCGAAGGCAGCUCCUUGGGAUGACACUGACGCUGAGGUGCGAAAGCGUGGGUAGCGAACAGGAUUAGAUACCCUGGUAGGUCAGU
rnacentral:rRNA from 1 species